CCUUCACUACGGAAUAGCCUCUGGAAACGGAGAGUAAUACCGUAUACGCCCUUUUGGGGAAAGAUUUAUCGGUGAAGGAUUAGCCCGCGUCUGAUUAGAUAGUUGGUGGGGUAACGGCCUACCAAGUCGACGAUCAGUAGCUGGUUUGAGAGGAUGAUCAGCAACACUGGGACUGAGACACGGCCCAGACUCCUACGGGAGGCAGCAGUGGGGAAUCUUAGACAAUGGGCGCAAGUGAUCUAGCCAUGCCGCGUGAGUGACGAAGGCCUUAGGGUCGUAAAGCUCUUUCGCCAGGGAUGAUAAUGACAGUACCUGGUAAAGAAACCCCGGCUAACUCCGUGCCAGCAGCCGCGGUAAUACGGAGGGGGUUAGCGUUGUUCGGAAUUACUGGGCGUAAAGCGCGCGUAGGGGAUUGGAAAGUUGGGGGUGAAAUCCCGGGGCUCAACCCCGAACUGCCUCCAAAACUAUCAGUCUAGAGUUCGAGAGAGGUGAGUGGAAUUCCAAGUGUAGAGGUGAAAUUCGUAGAUAUUUGGAGGAACACCAGUGGCGAAGGGGCUCACUGGCUCGAUACUGACGCUGAGGUGCGAAAGUGUGGGGAGCAAACAGGAUUAGAUACCCUGGUAGUCCACACCGUAAACGAUGAAUGCCAGACGUCGGGGGGCUUGCCUUCGGUGUCACACCUAACGGAUUAAGCAUUCCGCCU
rnacentral:rRNA from 1 species